AACGCUAGCGGGAGGCCUAACACAUGCAAGUCGAACGGGAUUCCCUUCGGGGAUGAGAGUGGCGCACGGGUGAGUAACGCGUAUGCAACCUGCCUGUAACAGAGGGAUAGCCCAUAGAAAUGUGGAUUAAUACCUCAUAGUUCUGUAUUGUCGCAUGGUGAUACAGAUAAAACUCCGGUGGUUACAGAUGGGCAUGCGCGACAUUAGCUAGUUGGUGAGGUAACGGCUCACCAAGGCAACGAUGUCUAGGGGUUCUGAGAGGAUGAUCCCCCACACUGGUACUGAGACACGGACCAGACUCCUACGGGAGGCAGCAGUGAGGAAUAUUGGUCAAUGGGCGCAAGCCUGAACCAGCCAUCCCGCGUGCAGGAUGACGGCCCUAUGGGUUGUAAACUGCUUUUAUACACCAAGAAAAAUCCCGACGUGUCGGGACCCGACGGUAGUGUAUGAAUAAGCAUCGGCUAACUCCGUGCCAGCAGCCGCGGUAAUACGGAGGAUGCAAGCGUUAUCCGGAUUCAUUGGGUUUAAAGGGUGCGUAGGCGGCUUUUUAAGUCAGUGGUGAAAUCCUGUCGCUUAACGAUAGAAUUGCCAUUGAUACUGGGAAGCUUGAGUUCAGUUGAGGUAAGCGGAAUGUGUAGUGUAGCGGUGAAAUGCUUAGAUAUUACACAGAACACCGAUUGCGAAGGCAGCUUACUAAACUGACACUGACGCUGAUGCACGAAAGCGUGGGGAGCGAACAGGAUUAGAUACCCUGGUAGUCCACGCCGUAAACGAUGCUCACUCGCUGUAUGCGAUACACAGUAUGCGGCCAAGCGAAAGCAUAAGUGAGCCAC
rnacentral:rRNA from 1 species